UGAGGAAUAUUGGGCAAUGGGCGCAAGCCUGACCCAGCAACGCCGCGUGAAGGAUGAAGGCCCUUGGGUUGUAAACUUCUUUUGUGGGGGAAGAGUGAGGACGGUACCCCAAGAAUAAGUCACGGCUAACUACGUGCCAGCAGCCGCGGUAAUACGUAGGUGACAAGCGUUAUCCGGAAUUACUGGGCGUAAAGCGCACGCAGGCGGCUGCGUAAGUCUGACGUGAAAUCUCCCGGCUUAACUGGAAGGGGUCGUUGGAAACUACGUCGCUUGAGGCGAGGAGAGGGGUGUGGAAUUCCCGGUGUAGUGGUGGAAUGCGUAGAUAUCGGGAGGAACAUCAGUGGCGAAAGCGACACCCUGGCCUUGGCCUGACGCUCAGGUGCGAAAGCGUGGGGAGCGAACGGG
rnacentral:rRNA from 1 species